rnacentral:miRNA from 1 species
CCGUGGUAUGGUUAGAAAGCUGC